UUUAGGUAGCGCCUCGUGAACUCAUCUUCGGGGGUAGAGCACUGUUUCGACUAGGGGGUCAUCCCGACUUACCAACUCGAUGCAAACUACGAAUACCGAAGAAUGUUAUCACGGGAGACACACGGCGGGUGCUAACGUUCGUCGUGAAGAGGGAAACAACCCAGACCGCCAGCUAAGGUCCCAAAGUCAUAGUUAAGUGGGAAACGAAGUGGGAAGGCUCAGACAGCCAGGAUGUUGGCUUAGAAGCAGCCAUCAUUUAAAGAAAGCGUAAUAGCUCACUGGUCGAGUCGGCCUGCGCGGAAGAUGUAACGGGGCUAAACUAUGCACCGAAGCUGCGGCAGCGAUAUUUAGAUAUUGUUGGGUAGGGGAGCGUUCUGUAAGCCUGUGAAGGUGUACUGUGAGGUAUGCUGGAGGUAUCAGAAGUGCGAAUGCUGACAUAAGUAACGAUAAUGCGGGUGAAAAACCCGCACGCCGGAAGACCAAGGGUUCCUGUCCAACGUUAAUCGGGGCAGGGUGAGUCGACCCCUAAGGCGAGGCAGAAAUGCGUAGUCGAUGGGAAACGGGUUAAUAUUCCCGUACUGGUGAUAAUUGCGAUGGGGGGACGGAGAAGGUUAGGCUGGCCGGGCGACGGUUGUCCCGGUUUAAGGAUGUAGGCAGGUGAAUUAGGCAAAUCCGGUUCACUAUAUGCUGAGGUCUGAUGACGAGUCACUACGGUGGCGAAGUAGCUCAUACCCCGCUUCCAGGAAAAGCCUCUAAGCUCUAGAUUAUCAUUAAUCGUACCCCAAACCGACACAGGUGGUCAGGUAGAGAAUACUCAGGCGCUUGAGAGAACUCGGGUGAAGGAACUAGGCAAAAUGGUGCCGUAACUUCGGGAGAAGGCACGCUGGCAUUAGGUGAAGUGGUUUACCCAUGGAGCUGAAGCCAGUCGCAGAUACCAGCUGGCUGCAACUGUUUAUUAAAAACACAGCACUGUGCAAACACGAAAGUGGACGUAUACGGUGUGACGCCUGCCCGGUGCUGGAAGGUUAAUUGAUGGGGUUAUCCGUAAGGAGAAGCUCUUGAUCGAAGCCCCAGUAAACGGCGGCCGUAACUAUAACGGUCCUAAGGUAGCGAAAUUCCUUGUCGGGUAAGUUCCGACCUGCACGAAUGGCGUAAUGAUGGCCAGGCUGUCUCCACCCGAGACUCAGUGAAAUUGAACUCGCUGUGAAGAUGCAGUGUACCCGCGGCAAGACGGAAAGACCCCGUGAACCUUUACUAUAGCUUGACACUGAACAUUGAGCCUUGAUGUGUAGGAUAGGUGGGAGGCUUUGAAGCGUGGACGCCAGUCUGCGUGGAGCCAACCUUGAAAUACCACCCUUUAAUGU
rnacentral:rRNA from 1 species